UACGUAGGGUCCGAGCGUUGUCCGGAAUUACUGGGCGUAAAGAGCUCGUAGGUGGUUUGUCGCGUUGUUCGUGAAAACUCACAGCUCAACUGUGGGCGUGCGGGCGAUACGGGCAGACUGGAGUACUGCAGGGGAGACUGGAAUUCCUGGUGUAGCGGUGGAAUGCGCAGAUAUCAGGAGGAACACCGGUGGCGAAGGCGGUCUGCUGGGCAGUAGCUGACACUGAGGCGCGACAGCGUGGGGAGCAAACAGG
rnacentral:rRNA from 1 species